CGAGAAAACUUUAGACAAUGCGGGAAACCGUGAUCAGGGGACGUCCAAGUGCCAGGAGUAAGAUCCUGUGCUUUUCUUCUCUCUUCAAAGGAUUAGGAAUAAGAGGUGGGUAAGGACGGUGCCAGCCGCCGCGGUAAUACCGGCGCCUCGAGUGGUAGUCGAUUUUAUUGGGCCUAAAACGUCCGUCGCCGGUCUGGUGCAUUCGUGGGUAAAUCAACCCGCUCAACGGGUUGAAUUCUGCGAGCACGGCCAGACUAGGGACCGGGAGAGGUGUGGGGUACGCUCGGGGUAGGGGUAAAAGUCCUGUCAUCCCGAGCGGACCACCUGUUGCGAAGGCGCCACACUAGGACGGAUCCGACGGUCAGGGACGAAGCCUAGGGGCACGAACCGGAUUAGAUACCCCGGGUAGUCCUAGGUGUAAACGCUGUGGACUUGGUGUUGGGAGCUCCCAGAGGGCUCUCAGUGCCGUAGCGAAGGUGAUAAGUCCAC
rnacentral:rRNA from 2 species